UGGGGAAUCUUGGACAAUGGGCGCAAGCCUGAUCCAGCAAUAUCGCGUGAGUGAUGAAGGGCUAUCUCGCUUGUAAAACUCUGUCAUCGAGUGUUCGAUUAUGACCUUCGAAGAGGAAGCCCCGACUAACUCCGUGCCAGCAGUCGCGGUAAGACGGGGGGGGCUAGUGUUAUUCGGAAUGACUAGGCGUAAAGGGCAUGUAGGCGGUUGAUACGGUCCCCAGUGCCAAGCCACCAGCUCAACUGGUGGAAUGCUCGGACCCAUUGACUUGAGUCAGAUAGAGGAAGGUGGAAUUUCGUGUGUAGAGAUAAAAUUCACAGAUAUACGAAGGAACGCCACCAGCGCAGGCAAUCUUCUGGGUCUUGACUGACGCUGAGGUGCGAAAGCAUGGGUAGCAAAC
rnacentral:rRNA from 1 species